rnacentral:lncRNA from 1 species
AGACAACAUCAGGUACUGGCGGCCGCAUAUUGGAAAUAGAUGCAAUCCGACUCGGAGGGUAGAAGACUCCACCAGAAGCAGCUGUAACAGGAGGUGCAACAACUUCUGGUCUGCUAAUGUGGGCUAAAGGCCGAUCUGUUCUACUAAUAGAAAUCUGAGACUGAUCAGAUAAACUUAUUCCUGGUGUCAUUGGCCUGGGCCUAUUUGGCAUGCUAGGGCCUGGUAUACUCUGUGUGGUUGUUGAUGCGAUAUUUGGAAUUGCAGUGGCUGGCACAUUCUGCAUGCUUGCAACAGGCAUUCGAGUACUGAUAGAUGCCAUAUGCUGCAUAUUAGUUGGCACAUUCUGCAUGCUGGUCGCUGGCAUGGUUUGUGUACUAGUGGAGGAUCCAUGGUUCUUGACCAAUUGUUCAACCAUUUUUGGGUCACUCAGAAUUUUGAUGAGCAAGUCGCGGUCAAUCAUAUUUCCUUGAUUGGUGUUGGUCAUUACCGCACUCAAGGCAGCAUGUGCAGCUGCUACAACAUCAAGAUCCACUCCAGUGAUUACCUCAGUUGCAGGGGCUCUCUGGGGAUGAUUAAUUGUCACAUGAGAUGAGGAAGCUCCAGGUGUCAAGGGCUGGGACUGUAAGCUGAGGGGAAGAGUGUUCAUUGUCACAGAAUCAAAUAAUGCAUUUGUAGGUGCAGGUGCAUCUUCAUCUUCAAUAGGAGUGAUGGGAAUAUGAGUAACUGGUUCAUCAGAAGAGAUUUCUGCACCCGCAUCAGUAGAAGGACUGCAUGGAAAUAGAUGUAAUUUGAGGAAAAACUUUACAUGCUAAUAAGUCUCAAAACACAUACAAAUAUAAAGCACCUAGUAAGAAAGAAAACCCACUCUGGAGGAAUAGCAGAUGGUCGUGGAUAAAUUGCCUCAAGCACUGUGUUCUCCCGCCUAUUUUCACGUUCAACUUCUACACUUUCUUCUCCAGCAACCACUCUCCAAGCAUCAUCCAAUACAAACUGCCAAAUCCAAAGGAACAAACAGAAUGUUACAACAAGGAACGGGUUCUGCAACCCAAAUUACAUGAUCGUGCACCUGCAAAUUGUCUUCAAUUAGUAUGCUUUAUCAUGCACUUUAAGAGACAGUUCACAUUACUACAAAGAGUGAUUUCCAAGAAAAUUUUCUUUUUCCACAAAGACGUACAAAACUUUAAGCUUGGAAUCUUACGAGCAACUUUGUUUUUGCAUACAUAUGACUUUAUGCUAAAUUGAAAACCAAAGUGGAAACAAACUCACACAAUCUAAACGAAUAUAAAUUCAGUGGGAAACUCGUGAGACAAUUAGUUAUCGUCCUACCCCGUAAUUCAGGAAAUAUCCAAAACCUAAACGAAAAUCUGUUCUUUCACCCCAUGUGACAUCCUCUAUUCCAUAAAACACAAACUAAAACUGCAGAUUUUCAACUCCAUGCAAGUAUACAACUCCACAUUACACCCAAAAAUAAUUUAAAAAAAAAAGUAGCACCAUAAGUCAUCUUUGUUUCUACUCAAUCAUAUUUUGAUCACAAAUUUGAUUAAAAAUUAUCCUCUUUCCCAGUGUUAUUCUUCCUUUCCCCAUACAUGGAAAGAAUGGCUCAAGAGUUUAAAGAGAAAUAUAAACGCCACAAAUUCAGUGGAAAAAGUCUCUUACUCUAGGAGGGCAUUUCCAUUUGAUAAGAGGUAUUUGGGGUAAUUUAUUCCAAAGGAGAUUUGCAGGCUGAGUUCCUUCAAAGCCUGGUGGUAAAUUGUCAUCAGACACUAAGGAAUUUGAGUUUGAUGACCAUGAUGUCUUUGCUUGGAGGUGAUCCUGACACCCAAACCCAACUUGUGCAGGAGUCUCUUCCGAUAAAAACAGUCUUACCUAUUAAAAGAAAUACAUUAAUCCAUCAAACACAAAUAUAAAUCAAUCAUAUAAGUUUGUAAGUACCACAUUAUCAAGAAAGGGACAAGCAGAUAAAAUACUCCCAUGAAAAUUUUGAUAGUGUAUCCAUUAAAGCAUGCAAACAAUAAAGCAAUAAAAGAAUGAAAAGACACAGAACUUCCAGAAUAACCAGAUAAAGUUGCAAAAGAAUAUGAACAACCAAGUAAAGAAAUUUAAAGUAGAAAACUUGACAGACAAAUUGUCUGGUUAGAACUACUACAAAAAGCAGAUUGCCAGCAAAAGCAAUUUCCACAUUAAACCACACUUCCCAAGUUCCAAAACACUUCAGUAGCUCCAAUCAAUUUUGGCCUUAGAAUACUUUCACCCCACUUGUCUCCCUCUCUCCCCUCCCUCCACAAAUUGCCACAAUCCAAACCACCUCAUCCCAGAUGCAAAAACACAGAUGAGCAUGACUGCUUCCCAAGAAAGUGGUAGCAUCCUUGCAUCCAUUUGUCUAACCUCAUUCACCAGUGACAAGGCAGCUUAUCUGUGACCAGCUUUGGAAGCAUGUGUGGAACCGUAUUGUCCAAAGAACAAUAAAAUUUUGAACAUUGGCAACCCUGUGCUGCACAUACUACACAGUUCUUGAUGCUCAGAUGCACAAUGAAGUCUGGAGACUGUCAUAGAAAAGUAAAGGACUAGAUGAAUAUGAUAAAAUAGAAAAUACAUGUCUUCUAGGAACUGAAAACCCAAUUUUUUAUUUUAAAGCAGCGAGAUGAUAUAAACCUCUUGACCAAGACAGAUAUGCAAGUUGCCCCUGAUCCACUCAACCAUCACUCACUUUCUUUCAAGAUUCUGAAAAUCAAGAACUAUAGAUGGCAUCAACAAUAUCAGAUGUUAUACACUACUUGAAUGCUGAUGCGCUUGUCACGGGGAAAAGUUAAUAGAGUUCAAUGUCUACCAAUGUCUAGGAUUACAUCUUUUGCAGAUUGUUCACUCCUUCCCAAGUGUCGUUUUGGAAAAUCCCCCGAUUGAAGUAUACUAUACUAAUCAUCCACAGUUGUUUAAGCAUGGACAUAGGUUAACAUGCCAAGUCAAGCUCCUUCUAGACCCCAGCUCAGCACAGUUCAUUCUUCCUACUAAUCAAACGAUGAAAUUACCAAGGAGUUUCCCUCAGUGGAACAGUGUCAUCUCUGGGCUGAGGCCUGAGAGGUCUUGAGUUUAAGCUAUCAGAGCAGAACCAUCAUACACAUGGUCCUCAUCGUCCUCCCGUUAAAAGUCCGACCAAACAACUUCUGCAGUGCUUUAGGAAUAUUUUGGUGCCGAAGUAGUCAACAUGAUUCGGGCAUACAACCGGAUCAUGACUUAAAAACUUAGCCAAGCAGCCAUUUCUUUUAAUUAUAUAUUGCCCCACACAAAAUCGUGUCAAGAUGCAGUGAUCAAUCACAAAUUACAGCAAGCAUACAGGCAAACCUUACCACGAAUCUUCACUAGGCAAAGCAGGGGAAAAUAAACAAAAGAAGAAAUUAAGAGCAAUUUGUUAAUUUACAUGAAAUUUGUCUCUUCACAUCUCUCCGCCUCUGAAAAGUAUGAGCCUGAGGUACCAGUUUUAGUAUGAAUCAUAAAGAGCAAAAUGCCAGAAAUCACCAGCAGAUGGCCAGUCCUGUAAAUUGGUCAAAUCCGCGCAAAUAAACCUUCAAGGAAUCUUGAGCAUCAUGUGCAUUGUGUCAUCGAUAUGUUCAUCUUAGCCACUUCCUCUCUGGAAAAAAAGUAAAAUCUCAUUGUGAACAAAAAGAUACAAGGCUACAAGCCAAACAUCAACCGCAUACAAAUAAAAAACCACAGACAAUAUUAAAAUAAUAAAUUUUACAAAAAAAGAAGAAAAAAAAGCCAACACUGGAUGAAACACAUAAUAAUGAUUACACAUGAAAUCAACUUUUCAACAAGCUCUCUGUAGAGCUAAAAAAACCAAAAUACCUUGAGGAGAAUGAGUUCCAUUUCCCUUGGCAGCCUGCUGUGCCUGAGACAGAGACCGCUGGACACGAGGUGACCCCUGUCUUGUGUUUGAACCAGAUAGGGAUUGUCUUUUUUUAAUGUACACAUCCUUGUACUGCGUAUCAGGACUUGAUCUUGGAGAGUUAUUAGCAAGAGCUUUGGCUCUUGCUGAUUCUGUUGCUUGCAUAUAACUCGGCAGAGAGUUGCUACUACUACUUUCCCUUGGUUCUUGAUCACCAUGAUCAGUUUUAGCUGUCCCAAAGGAGUUGCGCCGCUUCCCUGCUUUAUGCUCCCUCGAUAAAUGCUCUGAGAUACUUCUUGCACCAUUAUCUUCAUUAGGUUCCAAUUGGGAUUCUUUACCAGUAGAUACAGGUCCAUGUUUAUGUUUGGUACCAUGCUUCCCACUCCUGAUUCUCUUGGGCUUCACUGACACCUGACUAGAAGGUGUUCCAUGGGAUUCAGGGAUUGUUACAUGGCUUCUUGGAGAAGCUUCAGGUGAUGAUUUAGACACUGGAUGGCUUGACUCAGAUUCCAUCUCCACAAGCACACCAGUGGCAAUAGAAUCUGGCUUCUCCUCUAUCUCAGAUGAUUCAACAGUCACUAUAGAGCUCACAUGCUCGGAUUCAACAGCAGUACUGUUCUCCUGUUUCUCUGGCUGACUCAAAUUUGAGUGUGAUACAUCUCUCUCCGAGAGUAUGGACUCAACCUUUUCAUCAACUUCCAAGUUUAGACUGCUCUUAGGAUUUUCAGUGCCGUACUCCGAACUUUUGGUUUCCUUCUCAAAAUCAACCACUCCAACCUCAGACCUAUCCGGAGAAUCAAGUGUGGAAGAAAUAGAAAGUUCAGUCCCACAUUCAGAGCCACCAACUUGAAUUCCAGAAGUUUGGGGAAUAGAACUUUCAGCAUGAUCAAUUUCCCUGGCACCAAAUGCAUGAUUUGUGCCAGGUAAAACAGCAUCCAUAGAAUAAUCUACACCAGCAUCUUGAUUGGACAAACCAACUGAUUUUCCUAAAUUGGCAGCUGAACUAAGUUCUUCAAACUUCGAUUGAACUGCAAUAAAUGCAGGAUUUGAUGCCUUUCUUGAUACGGAUGAAGAUUUCUUUCCAUCAAUUUCAGAACCUUCAGGUGCAGUUCUCUCGGACACGUCCACAUGCUGCCUGCGUUCCAUUUCAGAUUGAUCAUGAAAUGAAUCAGGCUCAGCUUUGCAAACAUCAGAUGCUCUAUGAUCAUCAGGUAGAGAUUCUAAUGUGUUAUUGCUCAAAUUUGCUUGUUCAACAUUUUGAGGAUGGGACUGCUUGUGGCUGUGACUCACUGAAGAUACGGUUGGCCUGCAUUCUUGAAAGUUGUAGCUGUCUGCAUCAUAUGUGUUGACAUUAUUAUCAGCUUCGGAAGCCAGUGACAAUGCUUCAGCACUAGUCUUGAUGUCUCUUGAUUGACAAUUUUCUGGAGAUGAUACUGCAGUUUCUAGUUGGCAGUCUGCUUCCACGAUGUCGUCCUUACCUUGUUGAUCUUUAGCAAACUCUAAUUUCUGUGACUGUCCAUUUUCCACUGAUGCAACGGACAUCCAGCGCUCCAACCAUUUCCAGGCUGAGUCCGACUUGGAAGGAUCACACUUGAUAUUGAUGGUUUUGGUCUUGGGUGUUGAUUCCAGAAGCUUACGCCAAGAAGAGUAACAGAAAACAAGAUACAACAGAAUAAGAUUCUCAACCAUCCAAUCUUAAUAAGAUUAAAUAAAAGACAUAGGAAUCAUAAUAACUUCUUUUACCUGACGUGCAAAUGCAUUACUUAGCAACUUCUCUAUGGAAGUAUAUGUGUAUGGCUCGGUCCCCGUAUUUUCUUUCUCCUGAACACAUUGAAGAACAUUUAGACAAAUAUUUAAAAGACAACACAGUAAAAUUUUAGAUACAAAAUUUCUCUUCCUCAAACUUUUCCAUCAGGCAAGUCAGCCUGACAAUAAGACAUCUUCAAAGUACAAUCCAGAAAUAAUACCAACAACCACAAAUUGUCUAGAUCACAAUGAAUUUUUCUAGAAAAUCAUUUUGCAUACUAUUUAUACAAGACAAAAAAAAAAAAAAAAAAACUUUACCCUUAAUCCUCGUCCUAAAUAUGCAGGAUGGACCAACAACUCAUGCAGGUACUUGUCUAAAAGUCAAUCAAUGGAAACAGAAAUAACCACCAUGAUAAACUUAACUCACGAUGAAAUUGUGAAAAGUGAUAACUUGAGCUGAACUUUUACCAUGAAUGAACCAUGAUUGUUAAUUCCAUUCUUUUCAUCUAAAUUUUCUUCAAUGUUUGACCGUUUUAGAAGCAAGCGAGCACGGCGUUUUCGGACAAGCGCUUGCAUUUUAACAAUGGCUUUGACACAUCGAAGGCUACCCACAGCAUGCCGCCUAACUAUGUGUCCACGUACAGCAGCUUGCAACUUAAUUAUAUUCUUAUGCUUCAAUAACACUCUUUGAGCCUGGAAACAUAAGAAACACAUAAUAAAAAUCUAUUUUCAUCUUAAGUUAAACAAUCAAUACGUUGAAAGCCUCACCAGAUAUCUCCUAACUGCAGAUUGGAUGACAAUUACAAUUGCUUCAUCCAGGAUGCUGGCAAUUCCGUUCUCAUCCUCGGCAGAAGCUAUAGCUGAUGAUGAUUUUGAAUCCACAGGAAUUUGCACCUCGUUUUUCUCCUCUGUCCAUUGAGCAGCAGAGGUUUUAUCUCGAAUAGUAGAGCUAGCCUGCGUCUGCAAGCUGACAGCAGCAGUAUCCGGAUCAGUCUUGCUCACAAAAGGUGUUUCUGAGGUAACAGAGUUGCUCAGCACUCGAUGUCUUGCAGAUCUUUUCCGGAAACUCCACCUACUUCUAUCACUUGAGCCCUUACUCUGUAAGCAGCAAAAUCAUCGGAAGUAGGGAGGAGGAAAAAGAAUAAAACGAAGAGAUAGCAUACCAAUGAGAAAAAUGCUACUACUUGUUUAAUCAUGCACGUAUUCGCACAACAACGAGAAAAAUGCGCAAGUGUGAAGAAAAUUUAGGUUAACAGCAUACGCUAACAAAGACUCUAAAGGUGCAAGUUCCUAAUUAUCAAUUGUGAUCUUUUAUCAGAAACAGAAGAAAGCUAGCUUCUUCCAAGAAGAAUCACACUUGGUCAGGACUCACAAUGCUCCGAAGAGCCCACAACACAUGUUAAUUUUGCUGACACACAACAUAUAUCCAUACUUUUGGAAGUUUCUUUCAAGACAUUAUCCUGCUGGAAGGUAGCUGCAAAAAGAAGACAGCAAAAUGCAUGAUAAGCAAUCAGUACAUAAUUAACCAAUUUAUUCAGAAGUUGAGAAGCCAGGAAACCACAACCAUUUCAGUCAGAUGACUUUGAUGCUGGUUAUAGGAAAUAAAAGGUGGGUGGAAGUCACUAAUAACUGCAGCGCACAAUAAAAGUUCCUUCUGAAAUUAAUAUAGAAUACCCCCUAGACAUAAACCGGAUAAGAUACUAGCAAACAUUACACUCAUGUUGUACAAUUUCAUCUACCCUCCAAUUGACAGAUGAAAUAGCCAUCAACCUGAUUUUCAAUUGAUGGUUUACAAAAUUGAAUAAUUAAACAAGCAUUUAGCCACCCUGCUACCAAGACUCACAAGCAGCCAUGACUAUGGUGGACAAUAAGCUCAGGCGCUCAUCUUUUUCUUCACAUGGGCAGACUCAGGGAGGAAACACAAGAAAUGCUCUGUUUAGAUGUAAAUGAAUUAACAUAUUUAUGUAGGUAGAUAUUUGGCCUUAAAACCACUAGUAACUUCUAAUAAUGCUUGUGCAGCAUCAGCCAUGAACCUGGCAGAGCAGCCUGUUAUUUCUAAUUUUGUUGUAGUUUGUAAGUAGAUGAGAGAAACAUGUUCUUUUCUUUAGAGUAAACUUAAAUAAUAUGUCCAAAACUCAACAUACAUUAAUUAGAAUUACUUGCAUGCAUUUCAUUGCUGGCAACACAAGUCACCUCAAGCAUGUACGCCAUAUCCAUGCUACUAUAUCUUGCAAAAUAUUGUUAGGCAAUAAAAUCUUGACAAAACUUGUUAUGAGCAGAAAAAUAUGAAUAUCUCAAUAAUUUUGCAGAAAAUAACAACGUAAAAAUUGCCACUAGACAAGGUUCUUGCAUUUCUUGUUCCCUCUUUUAGUAAGGCACACCAUGAGACGCAUUGAACUACUGACUCAUCCCAGGUUUUCAAAGUGAUUCCACAAAUUAAAUUUAAUAGAUAGAUAAGUAAUAACCUAGAAGCAUUGAACACACAUCCUCCAACUUUUAAGAAAGGAACAAUCUCACUAAAUGACCACUAUUUAAGACAAAGCAGAAACAACAAGAAGUAUCUUCUCUGGAUAGUCCAUGUCAAUCUAGCAAUGGACUACACAUUUAGAACUAUGCAUAGCUUCACAAUCAAACUGCUGCACUGUAAAAGCUCCCUUACAGUGUCCCUGAUAAAUUUAAAGCUAAAUCUGCAGCAAUUCAGGACCAACAAUAUAGAACAUCUUGAUACUCCUCCGCUAGCAACUAUAAUCUGUUCUAAUAGAAAGAAGCUAGUUGAAGGUUUGAAGAAAGACAAGAUAUCAGGUUCACAGUCUAAAAUCUAACAAAAAGCAAGAUAAUUCCAGGUGGAAAGGAAAGGAAUCAACAAGAUAACUUCCUGUACACAGAUAAAUUUCCUUCUGAGACACGGAUUCCCUUAAUAUUGCAAAUCCUGUAGCACCAUAUAUCCACAAUGACUAAUCACAAGCGAAUUUCAGAUUCAAAUCCUAAACCCCAGCCCUCAUUCCUCAAUAUCCUAAUUGAUUCAGUUAUGCAAUAAAAUGAAUCCAUUUACACUAAGCAAAGCCACUGGAAAUCAAAAGUCAUUCUACACACUUUUCGUCGAUAAAUGAAAUGCAGAGGAAGGAGGACAAAUAAAACUCGAAACAGUGGGAUAUGUAGGAUUCUAUCUUUCCAGAAUCGAAGAUCUACUUCUAAUACCUCGUUAACAUUCAGCAUUUACCAAUGCAAUACACUAUCAAAGGAUCUUGGCAAAGUGAACAGUGACACCGAAUUAAAUCUUUUGAAGUAAUAGUCAUAGCUAAUUACUUCUGGGGAAACAACUAACAACAUCGAUUUCAUACCUCGGCCGUGGCAGACUAAUCGCAUGAAUUAAGAUUCCCUAAUGAUAUAUAUACUCAACCGGAGAAACCAACUAAUUGCGUAAUAAUAUGCUUUUUAGUAUGAAAUUAAUAGUGCACUUGAAUCUCUAAAUUACAUUUUUCGUUUCAUCCCUAAACUUGCCGGGUAAACAAAAGUAAGAUUUUAGUUAAACCUUAAUCCAUCUGAAAUACGGCUCCAACUUCUGAAUUUCCUAGCUCGCCAGUUCAUUCACAAUAUUGGCAUACCUCCAUACCAAUCCUCAGAUAUUACCUCAAUCUCCAUGUCUACUCGCAAAGAUCCUUACUUUUCUCAUCUCCAGAAAGAAUGGAAAAAUCACGACAGUUCCUCAUCAGAAGUCAAAAACUUCAUAACAAAACAGCGGAGGAAUAACAAACCAAACCAGUAACCGAAGCAUAUACCUCAGGAGCUUGAAGAUCAUCUCUGUCGACGGAGUCAUUGUUGCCGGCGCAAUUGAUGAGCUUGAAACAUGAAGCUGUGCCAGAUCUCACCAUUCUAUCGAUCGAUUUUCUCUAAUGUCGUGAUCUCACUCACACAGUACACACACUUCUCACAGUCUCCAGCAGAGUAGUAGAACUGCUACUGCUUGGAGUCGCUCUAAAGUUGGUCUUUGUUAUGGGAAAUUGUACCCAAGGCAGGACACACUGGGGGAGACGGAGAGAGAGAGGAAGUUUUAGGAACGCCGGACCUCAACCCUCUCCUGAAAUCCAGCUCAAUAUUGCUUUACGAGUCCGCCAAGGUCCUCGUUUUCUUUUCGUCUCUCUAUAUAUAUAUCCGUUGAGAUUUCAAAGCCAGAGAUGAGUGACGAGUGAGAUAAAAAGCAGCAGUGUUUGGAAAUCCGAUUAACAAAAGUUGUCAGAUCCAUACUGUUACUAAUUUUCCUUUUUCUUUGUUUUUUCUGAAUUAAAAAACAAUUAUUGAUUAGUACAAAAUUGAAAUAUCGGGUAAAGCUUUUUUUUUUUAAAAAAAUAUCACGAUAAAUUGCUUACUUUUUUUGCUUUAUCUCGUGUCAACAGCGGACAAAGAAUGUAAAGUACCAUGCCUAGAGGUACUUGUGUUUCUUUAUCCGUUACAUGUGUUUUAGUGUUUACACCGUAAAAAGUUUGAUACUUGCCUUUUUCUCUCUCUACAUUUUUCUUUUUUCUUUUUAAGUUUUUCGUGGAUUACCUUAUGUCUAAACAGUAUUAUGAUAUAUUAUUAUUAUUUUCGCACGGAUAUGAUACCAACAAAAAUGGAUGUGUUUGCAUUGGCAUUAUUUGUAAAAAAAUUAUUUAAUUACAUCACUAAUACUUUUUUUUUUUAGAAGAUACUUUAGAAAAAAAAAAAAGCAAACUAAUUUUUACUAUUGGUAUUUAAACAAGUAAUCCUCGUAUGAAAGUUGUCAGAUCCAUACUGUUACUAAUUUUCCUUUUUCUUUGUUUUUCUGAAUUAAAAAACAAUUAUUGAUUAGUACAAAAUUGAAAUAUCGGGUAAAGCUUUUUUUUUUAAAAAAAAUAUCACGAUAAAUUGCUUACUUUUUUUGCUUUAUCUCGUGUCAACAGCGGACAAAGAAUGUAAAGUACCAUGCCUAGAGGUACUUGUGUUUCUUUAUCCGUUACAUGUGUUUUAGUGUUUACACCGUAAAAAGUUUGAUACUUGCCUUUUUCUCUCUCUACAUUUUUCUUUUUUCUUUUUAAGUUUUUCGUGGAUUACCUUAUGUCUAAACAGUAUUAUGAUAUAUUAUUAUUAUUUUCGCACGGAUAUGAUACCAACAAAAAUGGAUGUGUUUGCAUUGGCAUUAUUUGUAAAAAAAUUAUUUAAUUACAUCACUAAUACUUUUUUUUUUUAGAAGAUACUUUAGAAAAAAAAAAGCAAACUAAUUUUUACUAUUGGUAUUUAAACAAGUAAUCCUCGUAUGUAUCCAGUUUGCUUUUACCCUUUUCUUUUUAUAGAUUAUGGUUAACUUUGAAUUAAAAACUCAACGCGUUGCAAAUGUAUUCAAGUACGUGUGCCUUUGUUGACAGAUCCGUUUGGAUUUGCCUUUUUAUAAAAUUUUCUUACAAAUGUGUACGAUAAUAAUUUGAUUGUAUGUGUGAUAAAAUGAUGAUUAAGAAAUGUGUUUAUGUAAAAAAUUUUGUGUUAAUAAACUACGAUCCAAACGUUUUAUUCUUAUUGACUUUUCCGUUGAACUUUGCAAAAAGAUAUUUUAGGAGGUACGUGCAUAAAAAAAUAUGGUAAAAAAUCUUCUGCACAUAGAUUUAUCACCCGCCCAUAGAAAAACACAAGAAAUUCAACAUAUCGGUAAAAUUUGUAGAAAUGUUGCCUAUCAUUUCUUUUUUCAUAAACUAAUAACCACGUAUGGUACGGCAUUUCUUAUAUCAAGUUGAAGCUUUCUUAACAUGGCCAGUUCCACAUAACAGCCACAAAAUUCGUUCAAGUAUGAUUUAUGGUCAUCUUUAACAGAAAUACUUAGCUAAAUGUUGUGCCCAGAAUCUCGUGAAAAUUUUAGGAAAAUAACAAAGCAAACAGUUGGUAAUAUCCUUUGGGAAAUAUAUUGUGUUUGGAUAGGAAAUUAUUUGAAACAUUUAGUGUAAUACUUUUUAUGAUAUGAUAAAUGUGAGAUAAAAAGGUGGUUGAACAAAUUUUAAAAAAAAAAUUGAUUGAAAAAUGUGUUUAUGAUACAAACAAAUAAGCGUACAGAAACAUGCAAAUACAUCUAAUCCUCCCUUUUUUUUUUUGGUUAAUCAUGCUCCUUCUGUCAUUUUAAUAACAUAGUUUUCAAUUUAUAAGACUAUAUGAUAAAAUAGAGCGUGAGAGAGUACGGAUAAUAAAAAAUGGAGCGUAAAUUACAUUUUCCUACCUUUUUUAUAAUGCAUAAUAGUAUUCAAACAAAGCACGUCAAGUCAGUGAACUAAAACGGAAGUACAUUAUUAUUAUUAUGAUUCUUAUCAUGAAGGAAACAACCUAAUUAGAUUAGCUUACGGAAGUACGCAUGGAGAUGAUUGCAUUCUAUGAUAGAUGGAAAGAGAAUUUUUCUUUGUUCUUGAUUUUAGUGCAUCAUACGAAUGCUCGAAUACAAUACCGGGUUUGCCAAAUGCUCAGGAAAUAAAAUGAUGAAUUGGAUUUGGAUGCAUAAACAAGCAUUGUCGAUAACUUUUAGCACUACAAGAAUGAGCCUUUGACCCCACAGGAAGGAUAAGAUCACCACACCAUAAUCAUCAAUCUUCAAAUUGUCAUUAAUUGGUGACUGCAGUUGCAAUCAUCUCCCCACCUGAAUAGUUGUUACCACUUACAACUUAAAAGCCGGGUCAUUGCUAAUUAUGUCGGAUUAAUUGGUUAAUCAACUGAACCAGCAUGAUUAGCCAAUGGACCGUAAUCUGAUGCCAUUAUUACCCAGGAUGUUUGGUCAUAAUCCUGCAUGAUUAGAGUGAAUAAAGCAAGCGCGAGAAGAAGAGGAAGAUGGUGACUCGUAACACAUCACACGAUAGACCUGCCGAGAAAGUCAAAAUGAUAGCGAAUCAUAGAGCAGAACCGCGGCGGGGGUUGGGCCCAGGGUGGGACCAUUCAUGCGAGCGGAUAGGAAUCAUGACCUCCGGGACAGGUAACCAUCAGGAUUUGGAGGACUAGUAAUUUAUUUAAUUAAACGGUAACGUUAAACAGGGUAAACGGAGUUAUGGUGUGAUGCACUAUCCUUUUAGUUUGACAAACACCAAGCAACUGAAAUUUGGAUCGAGUGCUCCGAAUUUGAAAGUAGCUUUUCUUAAUCGAAUUUAUUUUGGAGUAACUAAAAUUUCCAUAAUAAUUUUCACUCUUUCUAUGAUUGUUAACAAAUUGUUAGAUGAUAGCGUUCGAAAUAAGUUUUUUUUUUUUGAAAAAAAAAAUGGUUGUUAUUUAGUUCAGAUAAAUACAUAUUAGUUUAUAGUUCGACCUUAAGUAUGAUCAGUAAAAUAAGAUGUAAAAAUGAAAUAAUGACCUGUAUAACUUUAAUUUUAUUCUUUUUUAGUUGAUAUAGAUUUUAAUUUGAUUAAUAAUAGUUUAUAAAUUUAAAUAUUUUGUAAUUUGGAAUUCAGGUUAGACAUGCUUAGCACGGAUCAGAAUACUAAUUAUAUACAUAUCUCUACGUAUAUAUAAAGAAUUGUUCAAAGAGCUGUUUUAUAGUACAACAUAAUUGUGAAAAUGCUCAUUACUUCAAAGUUGGCAAGAUCUUGACAUCUGUUCAAGGACCGCAAUAUUAUGGCUCGAGCACCAAAUAUUCGUAGAUAUUGGCUCAAAUAUAGUAGUAUCUCCAGCUCCAGGCCUUAUCUUUAACCUUUUCUAAUAGUAGUUUCCAGUGAACUGAACACAAGUGCUGCUGGCGGCAGGACUGAGGCUGAGGUCUCCAACAGAUCAGACCAGUGUGAGGUAACCAAACCAUCUUGACAGCUAUUUUGUCCGGUUGGGCACGUGUCUGCGAUCCACAACCGACACGUUAUGGCACACGAGUCCGAUUCAGCUAUGUGUCUGGUCUGGGCAGGGCUAAUGCGGGUUACUUUAUGCCCAACUCUGCUGCGCAUGCCAUGUCAGAUAUCUGCUUCAAUUAAAAGGCCGCCAUUAUAUCUUUCCAUGGACCCACCAGGAUUCCCACCGCUGCGACCGCUCCACCAUCGUCAUUUGGCAUUUAGCUCAAAGAAAAGGACGAUCAACACUUAAAUUAAAGUAAUUUUAGAAACCUUCCUUGAGCGUUUUUAACUAUUGCAAGAAGCUCCAUUCUAGUUUAAAAAAUUACACUUACCUCCAAUAUGAUUAGCAUUUCAGUAACAAUACAGACCCAGUAUGCGAAAUUUAUCCUAAAAAAAUCCUAAAAAUACUCCUUUGUUACUUAGAAGUGGGAAAACUCACUAAUAAAUUUCUUCCACGUUGCAACUAUACCACCCUAACGGACUCAAUAAACCACUUCAGUUUAAUUUCCAUAUUCUCACAGUUUUGACAGCCUAUCAAUGUUGUUCCAAAGCUUUCCAUGCAAAUCAAUUAUGACAUUUUUUUACCUUCAUUUAGUGCGACAACAAAUCUGGUCCAACAGCUUGUCAUUUGAAAAUUUCAAUUCAAUAAUACUUACACAAAAAAAAAGAACACAAAAAAAAAGAUAAAGGAUCUAUUUCUAUAAUAAUAAGGAUUUGAGAUGUAUUAGAUGGCAGUUGCGAAAAUAGUGGAUUAUGAGAUACAGGAGAAACGGUCGGAGAGAGAAAAUAAUAGUUUAUUUUGUGGGUAGUCGUUGUUUUAGACUAGUUGUAGUUGUAUAAUUUUGUUUUGUAUGAAUUAUUUAUAAGUGAAGGAUAUUAUAGUCAUUUUACUACAUAAAGGGAGGUUAGUAUAAUUAUUCAAACCUAAAGGGAGGUGAGUGAAAUUGUCAAAUGAGAGGUUUAUGAAAUUAUCCCUAAAUUAAAAACAUGCUUAAUUCUACGCCUUUUUUUUCUAUAUAUAAAGUAUGAACAAUGGGUUCGGUGUUAAAGUAAUGUGUCAUUUUUUAGUUUUUCUAAUUUCUUCCUCACAAAAGUGAAGAUUUAUAAGAAUAAUUACUUAAAUGUAGUGCUAACUUCUAAUACUUCCAUUUCUACUAACUUCUAUUUUUUAAUUCGUUUUCCAAAAAUAAUCAUAAACUAUUUGCAAAACAAAAAAAAAAUCUAAUGAUUUUUAUUGGUUUUAAUAAAACAAUUAAAAAUUUUCUUAAUUUACAUACUCGUAGAAUGUGCUUUUCUCACUGGUAUUACAUAAUCUCAAACUCAUCCCCCGUUUCUUUCUUUCCAUUUGUGCAGUUUGAAAUAUCUCUUCAAAAAAAUAAAUACAAGUAGAGUACUAUUUUCUUCGAGAUUAAAAAGAUGAAUGAUGUAAAACUUAUUAGAUUUUAAUAGCAAAACUCUAGAAUUAGAUGAGGAGAACCUGGAGAGUAUUUACACUUGAUAUUUCAUUUUAAGAAAAUUGUUCAAGACACCCCUCACAUAUCAUCAAAUGAAUUUUUUCAUCAUUCAUUUUUAAAAUAUGAACUUUACGUCAUUUACAAAUUCAAAUUACCAGAAUUUGAUCUCACAUUAAGUUUUUGACACAAUUUCUAACUUGAAAUCGUUAUGUAAUCUACAUGUAGUCAUUUUUUAUAUACAAAAUAUCAAAUUUCACAUUUUUAGCAACAAAAAUAAAUAUGGAUUAAGUCUGGAAAAAAUGAAUAUGAUUCGGGUCAUAUCUUACUUUUUAGGACCAAAACUGAAUAUGAACCAGACCACUUUUUAACUAUAAAUGGAAUAUAAUCUUUUUACUCCUUAAAAAAUAAAGAUUAUAUGUGGAUCAAGUUAUAGAUUCAGAGAAAAAGUAGACGACAUGACCAAAUUUUAUCGACUUAAUUUUUGUAAAUGACGUAAAAUUGCGAUUUUAAAAAUGAAGGAUGAACAAAUUGAUUUGACAAAAUGUGAAGGAUGGUUGAACAAAUUUUCCUCAAUUGUCUUUUUAGUUUAGCAGAUCUCUCUAUCUGGUAUGUCCUUAUAUAUUACAACUUCCCUUCUUAGCCACUUCAUAUGCAAGUUUGAUAUUUUCAACAUAAGGAGCAAUGUUGAAGAAAAGUGUUACCCCAAAAAAAAUUUUGGCUCACCUUCGUGUUUUAUUUCACAAGGCAAAAAUAACAAAAAAUGUCCUACCUAAAAGUAAACUUAAAAGGUGACAAAAAAUCAAUUUCCCCCAAAAAGAAAAUAAUAAAAAAAAGAGCGGGAAGCCAAAUGGUUGACGGAGUAAUUGUAUACUACGAAUAAUCAGCACUACAAAAAAAAAAAAAAAAGGUAUCUUAUGGCAUACAUCUUCCAUGCAAUCCCACAUUCUGAAAAUUGGACGUUGUUGGGGCUUAUGGCCAUCAAAUUAGCUUUAUUUAACUUCUGAUCUUAAGUUAUAUUAAACUGCAGCCACCUCAAUUGUCCGACUCAAGAAGGUAUAAAAGGACUUGAUCGAACUCAGAAGGCACAAAGACUUGCUCGAUUCGUUAAAACUCGUGGCUCUAAUUUAUCUCGCGUGCCAAACAAGUCACUUGUUCUCUGAAGGACCAACUUUGAUUAGAAUAGUCUUAUAUGGGGGAAAAAAAUAAAAUAAAAUCUAGCUUAAGAAAAGGAAAUAAAGCGGGGGGGAACAAAGGAAAAGAAUAAAAGAAGUGGAAUAAUCAACUGGAGGUGGUUGGUUUGGUCCUCGUCUACACUGGGCAUAGCAAUUAGAGCAGCGAGACGAGAUGUCUGCAUCUAAUGACCAUCACAUCUCUCUCUCUAUUGUACAAAUUUCAAUUUGCAGAAUGAAGGUGACAAACAAGAGGCAUACCUUACACAUUAAAUGUACUAAGCACAGGCCAUGAAUGCAGAUCAUGUGGGUGAUAGAUAGCCAACAACGCAACAAAUUCAAUUUAAUAAGUUUGUUGUUCCAACUUAAUAUUUUUUAAUGCCAUCCUAUGUGAACUGGAUAUGCCGACUUAUGUUGUCUGUCCCUCUCCGUGAUAAUUUCCCUCAUUUUGUUUCCCUUCAAUGAAAGCACCAAACUAGCUCAAGAAAACAUACGCUCAGUCUAACUAAAAGCCUUUUUUUGCUCUUCGCCUGCUUCUCCUCCAUUCGACGACUUUAUGUUUCUACGAUCAGUUAUAAAGUUUUUUUUUGUGUGGGUUUGGAAUUCGUUACUUAAUCAAGGAAACCAGCCUUUGAAGGCAUAAAAUGGUUCUUCCAUGCUUGUUAUAGGUUGGGGAACAUCUUUUAAGGCAAUACGUCACGUCGAAAACUGCAGAGGCAUGCCUUAAUGGUCAUUACUUGAAGGUGGAGAAUACCACGCUGCUCGUGGGCAAUUAGCAAGUAACAAGCAAUUAGGUACAACAAGAGCAGGGGUCAUUCUCAAGCGUGUAGCUUUCUUUUUCAAGAGAAUUAGAGGUGUGGUCAUUGUGGUGGUGGAGCCUUGUCACAUGGAGAAACCUUCAAUCAUUACAAACCACGGACUGAUUCAAGCUCCUUUUUUCUUGGUGCGAAUUAUUAACUGCAUCCUCUCCAUCAGUAAAGUCCAGCCACUUUGAGUUGAGAGUCUCAAUGUCUGUUGUGGACAACUGGAGGACUUGAACAUUCGUACGGAUCUGGCUACAAUCUCGUUGGUGCAUCGUUCAACUUCAAGAAGGGGGGUAAGGUAAUACAAAUCUUGGACCGAAAAAAGAAAAUUGAUAAAAAUCCCUUCAGCGAGUUGAGAGAUCAACUUAGUUAUUAGAUCGUAUAAAGCGAUGGACAGUUCAUCUCCUGAAGAUUCAAAUACAUUGAUGAAACAAACAACUGCUGCACAUUACCCGUAGCGUUUCAGCCCAGAUGUCCUCGUGUGCCUUUCUUCUCAAUUAUUAUGAUUAAAUCGCUUUUAUGAUUGCGAAGAGAAGGCCCAGUAGGAUUAAUCAGAUUGUGAUGUAAAAAAGCUUCCUCCGAUUCCAACAUUCUUUGUUGGCAGUGAGACCACAACUGACAACCUCUGCUCAGCAAGCGGAAACCUGCUUACAGCUUUCCAUACUUGGCAGCAAACAUGAGUGAAGGUAGGACCCUGAAGAAACAUCCAACCAAUUCAAGUGGGGAUCAGUUUUAACGUGCAUUGCAGGAUAGUCUUUCUUUCCCUUCAAAUGUUAUCAAGCAACUAUGCGAACCAGUCUUCCCAACCAACCUGGCACAUUUCCUCCACAUAGCAUGUUCCACUCACAAACCAUCACCUGCUAACUCACUGGAAGAAGACCAGAAACCUCAAACUUCUAUUCAACAUGCAAUACUAGGCACCACUUAAAGUUCUUUGCCUCGCUACUACGCUACCCAAUCUUUGAAACAAAGAAUAUAAGAAGUAAGAAAAAUUCUUCUUUUUCCCUGGAAAGUAAUAAUGUAAGGUACAAGGCACAUCCUUAAACGCUAUUGUCAUCAAAUUCAAGAUGACCAUUUCCAAAGAAACAAUCAUAUCCUGAUAAAAUGCAAAGGGGAAAAGCACAUUUAAAAUAAUAAAAAAAAAGAUGAUACGAAAGACUGCAGAUGCAGCAGCCAACAAGGACAUAGUACACCACCCCAGGUGGAAAACAAAAUUGCUCCAUCGGCAGAAAACUGUAGAUCAUGAUUUUCGGGGUCUUCCCCUUUUCCCUGACUUUGCUGGGGUGCUCUCGGAACUUUUCUUAGCAGACGAGGGACGCCCUCGCCCCUCCCGCUGCCCUUCUUGUCACCCGAUGAUUUGCCAAUGCUCUUGCCUCGACCUCUGGCAUUCUGCUUCCUUUUGUUCUCAGCUUGCCCAUUCAAUUUUCCUUCAUCCUCAUCACUAGCAUCGUCACUAGAUUCGCCAUCUUCUUCAGACUCUGGUAGAUCUUUUGAAUUUUUCCUUUUCUUGGAAUUUUCAGCACCCUUUUUUGCUUUUUUCAGAGCCAGUGUAUUAUUCUGUGGUUCUUCAUUUGCUGCAGGAACAAUAUUCAAAAUCAGAGGAGUGUUGGCAAUGCCGGAUCUGCAAACUAAGAUUUUCUAAGAAAUUAAGUCCAUCAGAUAUGCUUAUGUGUCUUGAACCCCAUCUACAUAACAGAACAGCUAGUCCAACCAUAUUAUGAAAAUCCUAAGAGAUCACGUUCAAGAUCUCCCAACUAGUUGCUGAAUAUACAACGCACUAAUGCCUAAACAUAUGCACAACAUUCAGAAACAACACCCUAUUCAUAAUUUUGCUAGUCAAUACCUUCAAAAGAGGCUUUGCCAUCAUACACGUCCAGCUGCCAAAAGUAAAUGGACAAAGAUUAUAUUCUGGCGGAACUAGGUAAAACACAGUGAUGCAAUUUUUAAAGAAGCUGAUCCUUAAAAAUAAAUAUACACAAAAAAAAGAAGAAUAAGAUAGAAAUACAUACACACACACUAUAAUAUGGUCUCCUCGCAUUGCCACACCCGCCCAAACCCCAAAAAAAAAACACACAAAAAAAAAACUUGUGCAUCAUAAUUAUCAGAAGCAUCACGUCAGAUCAGACUCCUAUUAAAAGGAUGUAACUGCAUGAUACUCAGCACCUAACAUAAGGAUACUCUAUGACCAAAUACCAAUAACAGUAGAUAUCCUUAUGUUAAAUCUUCCGGCAUUUCAGUUGUAACUACCUCACAAUAGAUCCUACAAUUAAACUUCAACCACUUCGUCUCCCUAUUAACCCCAUUCUUGAUAAAUCCAAGAAACCAUCCCCUCCAUAUAGGAAUUUGUUACUUAAUUAAAAAAGAGAGAGAGGAGCAAAGUUUUUACCCACUCAAGUCGAUCAUCAACAUUAGUCCUAACAACUACUACCAUUGAGUGGGCAAAUCCACACAAUAGAUCCUACAAUUAAACUUCAACCACUUCGUCUCCCUAUAUAACCAUCCCCUCCAUAUAGGAAUUUGUUAUUUAAUUAAAACAAAAAAGAGAGAGAUGAGCAAAGUUUUUACCUGCUCAAGUCGAUCAUCAACAUUAGUCCUAUCAACUACUACCAUUGAGUGGGCAAAUCCACAUGCAACACUACAUUGGCGCAAAAGAAAGCUCAAAUCAGCCCUUGCUACAUUAAUUUGUGACCUAUUUAAAUGUAUUUAGUGGUGAAUUACCAACCUGAUAACAUGCAUGCCCUCCAGAAUGUCGACCUUUUUGGGAACUGCAGAAGAUCUGCAAUGAAAAAGAAACAGAAAACAAAGUAACACUGACAGAGGAACACUAGUAAAAACGAAAAAUGAUUAUCAGUAGGACGUCAACCAUACUUCUGCCCCUCAGGUCCAUAUCCCAGCUCCCCUGAUUGUGCAUGUCCCCAACUUAUACACGAGCGAUCGGCACCAACAAAAUGGUGCAUACCACCUGAAUCCAUACAGCGUAGAUGCCAGCCACUUCAGAACAUAGGUUAUAUGAGAACAACCCUGUUAGUCUCCAUGUGGAAUAAUUAAGGGCAAAAUUAUACCAUAUCAAAGCUAGAUUGAACAAAUUCAAUAUAAGGUAUAAAUGGCAAAAUUUAAUAUGAGAAUGCAAUAAACCAAUCAGCUAAAUUCUUUUUGUCCAUUAACAUCUUACAUCAUUUUCAUGUUCAUUUUAACUUUCAAAGGGAGAAAGAUGCAGUGCUCGUAAAAAGUGGGAAAUUUCCCCUGAUAGAAAGCAACACAUUAACAUCAAUGAGAGACAAGAAUUGAUGAAGAGUAACUCAUGUAUGCUGCUUAUGACUUGAAAUCGCUGUAUAUGUAUGUGUGCCCAGCCAAAUGAAGAAAACUACACCGAGAAAGAGGUAAUGAUAAAGAUUCAAGACAUGUACACAACCUUAAAUCCAUUAGAGGCUUAGGUACAUCCAGUCAUCCCCCGUGUUCUUUAUCUUGCCCCACAUGUAAAGCUGUCCUCCCCCUGCAAAAACAACUACCAUAAGUACCUGAUUUAUUUGAAGAAGAAGAAGAGAAACUUUCCAGUAUUAUAGUGUCUUUACCCUCUGAUUGAAAUCAGUGCCUCAAUAUUUUAUCUAUUAUUUAGAGGACUUAAGCAGAGACCUUUUCACUUUUAAGGAUAUACAUUCUAGGAGCUUGGCCCCAGUUAGAGUUAUCUUCUGUAUGAUGCCAUAGCAGCAUACCAGCAGAAGAGGUUGAGGCUCACAAAACGGCAACAAUAAAAUUUAGAGUAUCAUGUAGCACUGAAAAUAGCCAAUAAAGGAGUGGCUUAUUGUACCAGCAGUACAUGCAGAGUUGACAGAACCAGCAGAAACGACUGCAUCUGGAGGCAGAACAUUAUGCCUAGUGAAGACAUCAACACGGCGGGGAACCCAUUCAUCCUUCUGCUCUCUAUGGCCAAGUCUGUAAUUAGCAGACCAGCAAAAUUCAAGAUGACCAUGGGGAAAAGAGACAGCUAAUCAGAAAGGCCCACACCUUCUUGAUAUUGACUUAAUGAGUUGACUUAAAAUCUAGAAUACAAACCUCCCAUAACCACCAAAUCCCCAUCUACGCCAGAAAAUAAAAAAAAUGAAGGUCAGUACGUAGCACAUGGUAGCAAUUGAAUGAACAAAACUUAAUAGCAGAUCACUAAACAUGCAACUCAACUUACGUGUAAACAUAACCAUUCUUAUCCACUGCCACUGAAUUAAAUGUUAAAAACUCAAGUCAGAUGUAUAUUAACAGCAUUUUGGAAAUAAACUAUAAAGGUUCAUUACACUUUUAUAAGAUAGACGGUAUGAAGAUAAUCUCACAAACCUGUAUGAUUUGUUCCGCAUGCAACUUUAACUAUGGUUUCUCCAGCAAGAGAAGCUACAGCUCUGGGGCGGGGUUGAGCUUCAUAUGCAAGCCUCACUGAGCUAUCUUUUGUAUUGUACUGCAGAAAAGGGAUUAAAAAAAUCCUUUACAAUAAUUAUAGCAACACCACUUAUGCAAACAUCACUUAUAUGAACUACAAAUCAAUUGCUGGCGUGACAAUGUACAGUUGGAUGCAGCAUACCCUUUUUCAUGAGACCCGUAAAUGCUUGUAGUCAUUAGAUUGCAUCUUAAUAUCGAGUGGCAUGAAACCCACAACAUUCACAGUUUGGUUUAAGCCAACACUAACACAAUGGACAAUGUUUCUUAAGGAGUUCAGCCUGGUAAAUGUUCUCAUGCUUUGUUUCAAGCAUAAAGAACACAGCCCAUCGAUCAUUUCCAGGUUAGACACUAUCAAGUAUGUGAUACAAAAUCAACUUUUUGAAGAUUCUAGCUUUGACAGCCAGAACCUGUUUCUCUCUUGGUGUAAAUCUCUCUCUCUGAUAUGUAUGGAAACAAUCCAAAUAUGUCUAAAGAGCAACUUAACACAUACCUCAUUAUCUGUUCCAUGACCAAGUUGACCAUAUUGUGGCAGACCAGCAGUUCUGAAAAAAUUACAGAGCUUGUCAACGGAUGAAAUCAUCAAAGAGUAGCUCCACAUUAGUACAUGCAGAAGGAGAAAACAUUCCCAAACCAUACACUAUAGAUGCUCCUUCAACAGAAGUCAACCACACAGUGAAGUCAGCCCCACAAGCGUGUUACUAACAUCAGACACAUGACAUCGGACAGGCGAUAAUUCAACUUCUGCAACAAAGGCAAAGGUAGGCAAGUUACAAAGCCCUUAUAGUAAGGUACAUACAACUUUGUAUUACCAUGUCCAGAGCAACAUUCACAUAAAAGACCACAUAUAAGUGAGACUAGAUCACUAAAUUUGAUAUUGAUCCAUUUCAGUGCAUCAAGCAUACUGUUCACAAAAAGCACCAAUUUAAUCAACUGUCAGAAUAUUGAUACAAGGCACAGCAAAGAAGAACACAAACCAUUUUUAGCAGAACCGGUACCCAGCUGUCCAUGCUUGUUCCAACCAAAAAAGAGAGUCACCAUCUUCAGUCACCACUACAGUGUGGCUUCUUCCUGCCCCUGCUGUAAUGACUUUAUGCCUGGUAAAAAAGUUUAGCAAUUUAAUUAGUCUCCAUUAGUGAGGGAGAUGGUAAAGAAUUAAAAAAAGGAUAGAUAACGAGGGUCAACAGAGUUCAAACUAAAACCCUAAAUUAUGUAUCAAAAAGGGCUGCAGUAAGAUAUUCCCAAAGCAAUUCAAGCAAAGUACAAGAACCAUGAGCUCAUACCACCGAAUUCAGAUGGAAAAUACCAAAGAAAGAAUUAUAAUGAGCUAGUACGCCACUAACUUGGAGAGUCCUGAAACAACAGUGGGCCUAUCACGCUGAAUUUUGUCUCCAUGACCAAGCUGCCCCUUCUGCACAUUUUUAACAACAUAGAAACCACAUAAUAUUUUUUACAGAUACUUCUACACAAAAAUAUUACUGGGAGAAAAACUUUGAACUGAAACUCAAAAAUCACCUCAUUGCGGCCCCAGGUGUAGCAACGUCCAUCAACAUCCAAAGCCACAGUGACAAGAAGCUAAAGGCACACAUUACACCCGGGAACAAAAUAUCAGUAUUAUGAAAGAUCUGGUACACAUUUAGAGCAAGAGGCAUGCUUGAAUUGUUGCCAUAUUAGCUGCAUUUUUCUUUUGACCUAAAAAUGACAAGCCAAACAAGUCUACAGCCACUAGCGUCGAAGAUGUAUAAAUUUCAAAGCUCUUUUCACUUCAUUCAGGUAAAACUGAAACUAGCAUACCAAAAAAUGGCAGACUAGAGCUACAUGCAGUAAAUAAACGCAAAGGUAAAAUAUUUAGCACAAAAUAAAAGGAAAAGACUGAAGCUAAAUCAGCGACUGAGGAAAAGAAAAACAAAAAAGCUAAGAAGCUUACUGCAGCCAGAGGCAACGAAAGAAAUAUUAAUGCCAAUAAGAGGGCGGAGCCGAGUCGGAGAAAUUAAGUUCCCUUCCAAACCUUUGCGCCGACCAACUGCGUCCCAAGCAGUGGCCCCACAGAACAAGAGCUCUCCACCCUUCACAGCCUGCUCUUCCUCCUCCACCUUCUUCUCCGGCUCCACAGCUGCCAUCUAUCUCCGGCAAACUAAACGACCAAAACUCUAUUAGGUAUGAAAAGACCUUUCACUUUUUUUUUAUAUAUAUAAAGCAAACAAAGAAACUCCGAGAUCCAACCGCAAUUACCCGAUUGCCGCCGAAUGAAGGUUCAAAAAGAGCUUGCAAUCGACGGAGCAACGGCUAGUUUACGGGAAUCGGCGGUUAGGGUUUAAGUAAGCCCUAGAUCAGAGAGAAAACCUCAUUCGAAACCCUACGAACAAUGCCAACAAGAGUAAGCACUUUUUGUGUUUGUUGGAGUUGUUAUUAUUAUUAUAUUUUUUGUUUCCUUUUGGAUUAAAGAAAAAAGUGAAAGAGAUAUAUCUGCGAAGACAGGGAUUGUGGGUUUUCCGAGAAUGCGACUUUUAUGAGUAAUAAAUGAAUGAAUCUAAUUAAAGAAUACAGCUUUACAAUUUGGUGGAUAAAAAAAAAAAAAAUGAGUAGAUGGGAUGGGAUAUAUACUUGAAUUGUUGCUCAAGUGAGUGACUUCACCUGUUUCCUUCUUUAAGCGUACAAAUAUUUUUCAAAAAUCUGUCGUUCUUCUUUCCUUUUAUAGCAGUAUAAUUGUACCAUUUGUUCACUCGGCGUCGAAAUCCAGUCCGGGCAUAAAUGGUAGUGCGGUACUACUUUUUAUGGGCUUGGUAUGACUUUUAUGGACGAGGGGCCUGGACGGUUGUCUCCGACUUGUAUCUGGUCACCGUCGGAUCAAUUUCCUGUUUGUUUUUGUUGCAGGGUUUCGGCCUCAUAAAGCUUCCCGCAAAUUUCGUCAUUGGGGCAAUAUAUGGGCGGAAGGGCAAUUGGACUCGAGGGAGGGGAGGGCUGCUUUUUAACUUGUUGGCCAAAUCUUCGAACAAGCCUUGUGAGCCCGCCGUAUGCCUUGUACGGUUGAACUGUUGGACAUUUCACUUUCAGGAUGAAGUGACUUGAUUCCCAUUCAAUUCUUUUGGCUAUAUUCUCCCCCUUUUUUUCAAUUUUUUUACUACUAUUUUAAUAACAUGUUAAAGAGUUUUUCUAACGAUGUCCUAUAAGAAAACACGUAAAUUAUACAUAACUUACCAUAUGAAUACAUAUAUAACUAUUAUUAUUAUUCUAUCUCAUAUUAUAAGUUUUUUCUAUUUAACUUUAUAUUUGUAAAAUAUUAAUAUUGAGUGUGUUUGGAUGGUUGUUUAUUUUUGGGAUAAUUUUUUGAAAAAAAUACUAUAACACUUUUUUAUUGUGUGAUGCAUGUAAGAUAAUAAGGCGAUUGAAAAAUAUGUCAAUAAUACAAGUAAAUAAAUUUGUGCAAAUAAUCCACUAUCCAAACAAAAUAUUGAUUUUGGUUUUUUGCUUGCAUUAUUUUGAAUAGAAAAGAGGGAACAUAUUUUCAAUUUUGAAUAGAAGAAGGAUGUGUUUAGAGUUUAUUAAUAGAAGAUAACUUGAUGAGAUGUAGCAAUAUCUACUUUAUGUUCUUCUAGGCUUCGUUUGAAUUAACUGUUUUUUAAUGUGUUUUUGAAAAAUUUUACUGUAGUAGUAUAUAUGAAAAAUUUUUACUAUAAUAAUUUUUUGAAAUAUUUGAUAUAUUGUAUAGAUGAGAUGUUUUUUGAAUUAUUGUGUAUUACUGUAGUAUUAUAUUUGAAAAUUUUAUUUUUGAAAAAAUGACCAAUCCAAACGGAGUCGUUUAUAGACCUCACCUUCUGUGUCAAGAUGUCAACUUUCAAGCAUUCUUCUCCAUCUUUUUUGGGAAAAUCGUUCAAAACGUCCCUCACAUUUUACAGGAUGACUUUUUUCGUCCCCCAAUUUUAAAAGUGUAAUUUUACAUCCCUUACAAAUUCACAUUGACCAAAUUUGGUCCCUACCUAGGUUUCCGACUAGUUUUUGAUCGGAAUCCACCACGUGACUUGCAUGUGAUCAAUUUUUAAGGGUAAAAUUGUCAAAUCAAAUUUUUACAUAAUUUGAUUCAUAGGUCCCUCACACUUCACAAAAUAAAUUUUUUCGUCCCUAACAUUUUACAAAAUGAAUUGUUUCGUUCCUCACAUUUCAAAAAAUGAACGUUUCUAUCUCUCACAUUUUUCAAAAUGAAUUUUUUUAUCCCUCAUUGAUUAUGUGUACGAAUAGUUUUUUUCUAUAAAUCUACGUAUAUAUAUAUAUAUUUGAUUUUAUCUGAACAGUAUAAAUAACAUGUAAUUUAUCUCUAUUAUAUUUCAUCUAAACAUACUAAUUGUAGUUAUAUACAAACUAUUCAAUAGAUAUAUAUAUAUAUAUAUAUAUAUAUAUAUAUAUAUAUAUAUAUAGGGGUUUAAAAAUAAUGAUUUUGUUUGAAAUCCAUGUAUAUAUUUAUAUGAUUUCACCAUUUGAACCUAUUCAAUAUUUGUGAUAUUUUUCUUUUGAUAAUAAUUUAUUUAUUGAAUUGUAUAAUAAGGUCAUCUAAUUAAUGGGUUCUAACUCGAAUUUUAUAAUUGUGUUAACAAAAUUCAGUUUAAAUAUGAAAUUUCUAUUCGACACUUUUAAGACUAACAGUUGAAUUACUUACCUUGUGAUUGUCUUAAAAUUUGAAAGUGCCAGUCAUUUAUUUCUUUUUGUCAUACUUUUCUUUUGUUUACUUUUUCUAUCCAAAUUUAAUUCGAUAUAAACAGUCGAUAAUAUUUAGGAUUAAAUGUCUUCUUUAUUUUCAAUCUUCGAGUAAAAGAAAAUGAAUAUAAGUGAAAAACUAACAAUUUUUUUAAACCCAUAUAUAUAUCUAUUUGAUUUCACUUGAACAGUACGAAUAGUAUGUAAUAUAUCUCUAUUUGAUUUCAUAUGCUAUUCGUACUGUUCAAGUAAAAUCAAAUAAAUAUAUACAUGAAUUUUUAAAAAAUUAUUCACACACAUGAUCAAUAAAUGAUGAAAAAAUUCAUUUUGUGAAAUAUAAGGGACGAAAAAUUUUAUUUUAUGAAAUGUGAGGGAUUAUGAAUCGAAUUAUAUAAAAUUAGAUUUAACAAUUUUGCCCUUAAAAUAUGAUCACGUGCAAGGCACGUGGUGAAUUCCAACAAAAAACUAGUUGAAAAUCUAAACAGGGACCAAAUUUGACCAAUGUGAAUUUGUAAAGGACGUAAAAUUAUAUUUUUAAAAGUAAAGGACGAAAAAAGUUAUUUUGUAAAAUGUGAGGGACGUUUUGAACGAUUUUCCCAUCUUUUUUGAAGUUCAGAAUUCCCCCCACGUUAACUUUGCUAACAGAAAAUUUGAUGAAAGGCAACUCCACAUAACUUUCCUGAAUAUGAGUUUCUUCACCAAUUAAAACACGAUAUAAAAUGUACAUCAACAAAGACAACGUUGGAAUGUUCAAAAUCUAUUUUGUAUACCUAUCCACCACCUAUUUUACAAACAAAGAAGUUCUGGGGAGCCACAACCACAAGAUGGAAGAGUUUCCUACUGGCUGCACCACUGUCCGCAGUACAGAGCGGCAGGUCUAAGUAUUCCUAAAUAUUUAUAAAGCAAUCCAAUGAAGAAAGCCACUGGUUCAUUGGAUAAAUAACCCAAAAUAAAGUAUGCAACAAGCAGUUAAGGAGCCACAAAUUGUACGGAACGUUUCAGUUUUUCUAACACAGGAAGAUCGUCCUGAGUCUACGAGCUCUAUCUAUAUGGCAAAGUUUUCCGGUUCGUUAGGAAAUGCCCAAGAAUGCUGAAUUUUCGUUCAGCUGACUAAGCUGAAGUAGGUGUUGCCGAAGUUGUUGUUGCAGUUUUGGAUGUUGCAACUGAUAAUUGUUGGAUUUGACUGGAUUGAUGGUGCUGCAGCUGGAGUACAUGAUGCUUCAUGGGUAGCUGCUGAAUCAUGGAAGUCGAUGACCCAUCAUCUUCACCAAGCUCAGCAGCUGCAAGCUUUAGACGCUGCACUUCUGCGGUCAAUGCCUCGUGAAGAGCUGCCAUAAAUAUACCAACAUAAAUAAUUGUUCUACCCAAGACUAAAAUGAAGGGGGGAAAAAUUUAUCUGUACAAUAAUAUCUUGUGCCUAUUAAUAGUUGUUUGUAACUGCAUAAUACAAGACAGGCAAACUCAUCAUAUCUGCACAACAACAGGGCAAAAGCACGCAUUACAUACCAAGUCACUCUUCAUAACAAAUUGCCAUAUAAGCAGGCUAAAGAGGAGCAUUAACCAACCAAGCAUUUAUAAAGAGGUCUCGCAUUCUAGUCUUCAAUAAGCCACAAGCUGGAAGGAGGUGUUUGAGAGGAGUAGCCCUUAAAUAAUCCAAUCAUGUAACUUAUCAUGAUUCUAUCUUGAAUGGUCAAACUGCUACUUUUAGGUCUCACACAUCCAUAAUUAAACUCAUACAAAAUUCAGUCACAAUAACUUUCCCCCCCCCCCCCCCGGCUGAGGCCUCCUCCUUCCCUUUACCCCACCCAGCAAAAUGGCCCCAACACGCAAAUAAAUAAAUAAGCAUACGUCACAGUCCACACUGACACAAGAAUUGGUAAAAUAAAGAGUUUUAGGCCCUAAAUCUUUUGAUAUUGACCGUAUUGCCAAUUUUCUAUCAAAGAAUUGCAGCUUGUUUUUACGAUAACAGGUUUGCAGAUACUAAUAAUUUGGAAGAUUUAUCUGAGCUCCAAAACUAUCAUGACACAGACUUUCAACAAACUAGGGAGGUGCAAUGUAAGUCAGCAAAUGGAGAAACAGAACCAAAUCAUCUUUAAUAAUCAGGACUCAGUGGACUGUGCAUAAUAAUAUUGUUGCAUUCAUAAAUCCAAACGAAUUUCAAAUCACUCCUCCACCCCCCCUCUUAUUCGCCAAAAGAAAUUUACGAAAAGGGUCUGUACAAACACACAUAAUUCAAAGGUUAUACAGAGAUUCCAGUAGAUCAACAAUGUAGACAAACUAUCAACAAAGAAUCAAGGGAGGAAGUGCAAAAUACCAUCUCUAAGUCGUGCCUGUUGCUCCAUGGCUUGAAGACGAAAUUUUCAGCUCAUUGUUUUGAUUUGUAAGCUAGAAAAAUCUUUCUGUAAGAAAAAAAAAAACAUAGACAAUUACCAUAGGAUCAAGGCUACCUCCUUAAGAAAAAAACUAGUCCUAAGCAUUUGUGGCCAAGCAUUGAUUUCCAUAGGGCUGACUGGGAUUUUAGUACUGGAUUUCAUAAACUCAUGUGCAAACCUGAAGAACAGUAAGUUGUGGCAGAUAGUGUAGUGGCCUCGGUUUGCAGUGUCAGCACCUUGUGUUCCGCAAUUCUGAGAUGUAUCGCAACUUGCGCUCCUUAGAACGAGCAGCUGACUGACGAUUAGCUAGUACCCUGGAUAAACAAUUUCAACCAUGUAAAUGAGACAUGCCAAUCUACAAAUGUAACUUCAAAAAAUUCAUCAGUUCAAUUCAUAUCCAGUACACACCAUCCUCUUGGCACGUUUUGGAUCUGAUAAGGCAAUUUCAGCAAGUCUCUCAUCUGUCAUAAUCUUUUUUACCUCAGCUUCACUAAAUUCAGCCAUUUCCAAAGUCCAAGCUAAACUUAGCUGAGUUUUCACUGGCGCAAAUUGCUUGGUGAGAGUUGCACUGACAUGAAUCCCAGCAGCGCUAGGUAGCUUUGGUGACACUUCAUUGAAAUGCAAACUUUCAAAGGCACUAUCAACUGAAAGGCUUCUAAAGUGGCGAGCAGCAGGAGCAAUAUCCCCAGUAGCACUCCUUUUGUUUCCUUCUGCUGAACCUGUCCGCAUCGAAUUUAGUACUAUUUGCCUUUGAGAUGCUUUGGGCUUCAGUAUUACUAUUCUCACCACCACAUUUCUUCAUGCCACUAACCAUGCUUCUUUUAUCUUUCUCAUCAGUUCUAGAAGGAUUUAGACUAUCUGCAUUGUCCAAUUUCAAAUAAGAUUGAAACAAGUCAUUCACAAUCUCUCCCUCCAAUCUUCUCUGACCCAUGCUGUUGAAAUUGCUGUUACCUUCACUAAUUGCAUCCAUUUCUUGCUUUUGCAAAUGAAUGGCCUUAUCCAUUCCAACUUUAUCACUUCCAAAGGCUGUUUUGCCCGAUAUUCCCUGACCGCUUAUUGGUACCAAUUGAGGUGAAGUCUGAAUCAUAACAUUGAACCCCAAGGGAACAUCGCUACUGGAUCGCCUAUGGCCUUUUCGAGGCGGAAGACCCUCAAAAUUGCCUCGAAAAUUAUUCUCAAAUGUAACGGAGGGACCACCAACCACUGGCGGAACUCGAGAACUAACAUCCACUUCAUCCAUUGACACGUCCUUGAUACUAGAGUUGGAGGCCAAUGAGGAUUCGCUAUGAGGCAACGGGCUCAAUGGGGGCAAGCUAUGAUUAGCAAAAAAUGCAGGUUGAGAUGUAGACCUGGAGUGCGAACUCCCCGCGCCAUAGUUCUGAUUCAUGGGUUGCUUACAAUUCAACUGAGCCAUCAAAAUUCUGAUUACAAAUACGCAAGAAGUAUAUCCUCCCUCGUCAAAUCCUAAAUUAUCCUCUAGCCCAGAAGUUUAGUGCUGAUUCAAUGGGCCACUGAAUUGAGCCUCAAAGAACAAGCAAAUGCCAAAAUCUCUGAAACUGGAGUAAGAAUAUAGCUAGUCAACUACUGAAGUGUAUCAAACAAAGCAGGGUUUUUCUUGCCCCCACCCCCGGCCUAAACCCAAAACCCCAAAACAAAUGAAGGAGCAAAAAUUCCGGCAUUUUACUAAUUCUAUCAAAAACCCAAUUAAAUCAAAUAAACCAAGAGCUAAAAUCAGAGAAAACUCAGAACUUUGAUUCAUUUCCACUCAAUAACUCUUAUCCAUCCAAAACCCUACAACUCUACGAGAAACGAAAGAAAAUUAAGCCGAUAGAAAACUUUUUCUAGAAACACAAAAGUGAUUUACCUUACAGCAUCAGAAAUGCAGCCAAUCAAACCAUCGAUCAGCGGAGCCGCGUUGAAAAGAAAAUGAGGAAGAAGGAAAGUAAUGGGAAUUAUCGCUUACUUUAUAUUGAAAACAAGCGAAUUUCCCGCUGAAACUGGCGGUGAUUACGUUAAAUAGUAGCAGAAGAAAAAGGUGUUCUGGAAAAGACAAAAAACUUCGGAUUGCAUAGAAAAUGACGAAAGUGCAAAAUGGAAGCAGAAGCGUUUUUUUUAUUUAUACAUUAAUCUCUGCUUUCUUGCUAUCUCAGUGCAGGCCGUACGAAGUUAACAAGCUGAGGAGUGAGAGGCACAAAAUUGGAGUUAUAACAAAGAUGGUGACGUGGGAGUUUGUGGGAAAGUCCGCGGUGAAUUUGGCGUGAAUUUCAGGUGAAUGUACAGUCGACUCUUUUGCAUAGUUGCAUUUUUCACUCCUCACUUUUCAGCCGAACCGUGUUGGGCUUUCUUGGAUGGCCUGCAGGGGGACAAUGCUCAGCCCGAAUUUGCUGACAGGAAACUGCCAUAUGGAAACCACGUUUGUGUGACACUUCAUCAAAAUAUAUUUGUGGUGUAAAGCCUUUCAUUUUCCAAAUUCCCCUUCUAGCUUUGACUUCUUGCUUUCUAUAGCGAUAGAAUACUUUUUCCGAUGACUGAGAAACUCAGACUUUUUCGUUACUAAAGUUGACCUGCGAGAAACCUUCAAAAGCCGGCAACUUUUGAAGGCUCCCGCAGACCUUAAUAAACCCAAACCCAAACCCCCACCCCCGAACCGAUGUGGGAUAGAAACCCCACAGGGGUGCCCCGCUGCUAAGAAGUAAAGACCCCCAGACACCCACUGAAAUGGAGAGAUCACCUCCCCGAGGUUUCUGUCUUUUUCCGAUGACUGAGAAACUCAGACUUUUUCGUUACUAAAGUUGACCUGCGAGAAACCUUCAAAAGCCGGCAACUUUUGAAGGCUCCCGCAGACCCUAUAGCGAUAGAAUACAACCCGAAUUUUUGACACUCUCAGCCCGAUCGCCCUCGAGCUUGGCACUUUAUUGUUAAAGGACUAUGCUUUGACACUGCAAAUCAAAAUGAAAUUUACUUUCUUUUUUUUUACAUGAUAAAAAUGAAAAACAUAAGUUGAUUAGAGCAAAUUAACUGUCUUUCUUGUUUUGACUCUUAAAGAUAAGAUGAUGUUAUUAAAUGAGACUAGAUUUUAUCUCAUAAAAUCACUUUCCAAGAAUGAAAACACGCAAACCAACAGCUUUUGGACCGGUGACGGGUGAGUCAAGAUUUUAAACUUUAUCUCCCAUCAAUUAUUACAAUAAGUAUAUCUUCCAAGAAAUCCAGAUGAGUGCGUAGUCUAAUCCAGUGAUGGUUUAGUUCUCAUCUGUCUCUCAUGGGUUUAAUUGGGCCUCUCUAUAUAGAUUAGGAUAGAGUAGGAUAUAGAUAAAAUAAAAAAUUGAUGAAUGACCAAAAAAAAGAAUGAAAACACGCAUAAAUCAUAGAAUGUCAAAGUUUCUGUAUAAGAGUGCAUCAUUAUUGGAAAGUUUCCCCAAGAGUUUUGGCUACGGAAUUGAGGAUGAGCAAGUGCACCCAUGGCUUAAAGUUUGUGAAACCAAUUAAAGAAUACGCUCAAUUUCAUAAUAUAUUAUAUAUAUUAUUUUCAAAGACACUUGCAAAUUACUGCUAAUCCCUUCCUUUUUUUUCGAAACGCUGAGUUGUAUUACUCAUGUCAAAAGUAUGUAUAAUCUGAGCAAAUAUUCAAGGAUACUUUAUAGUUUGUGCAUCUUAGCUUGGUGGAACUGGAUAAGUCCAUUCCACAUCUUAAUUACUGCUAAUCUCACAAUAUUAACUUCUGUUGAGAAUUAAGACCCUUAAGGAUAUUACAGGCAUACCCUUGAGGAAAAGAGAUUUGCCAAAAUCAAAAAUUUGUCACCUUAGAGGGGUCAUAUUGAAGUUUUCACGAGCUCCUUCUGCUUUUUUUAAAAAAGUUUUUAGGAGCCUUAGAGGGUCAAAUUGGCAUUAUCCUUUUGAGCCAUUUGAUUUGCCUUUUUGUGGAGAAAAGUUUUGGAAAAAGGCGGACCCAAGCCAUUGGAUCAAAUGUGUACAAGGACAAAUUAAAAAAGUGGUAUGGCACGAAUCUUAAGAACAUCUAAUGGACGGCUCAGGAGUCAGGACGAGGGAUUCGCGGUCACUCCUCACCAGCAGUCAUUUCGCACUUCCCCUAUCAUUUUCAAAUAUUUUUAAAGGAUAAUAUCAGAAACCUCCUUUGACGUUUCCAUUAAUAUCACUUGACACCUUUAAUGUUUUAAAAAAAUCACGUACCCCUAAUAAUUGUAAAAAGAUUACAUUAAUUUUCACUUGAUAUAUAAUUUACAUAUCAAAUAAAUAGAAUUCAAAAAAUAAAAAAAAAGAGAAACAAAAGUCACUUUCUUCAUUUUCUCCUUUCUUCAAUAUUUUCCUUUAUUCAUUUUUUUUGGAUGACUAUGAGGUUUUUAUUUGUAAAUUAUACAUAGUAUAUUAAAUGUUGUUUGCCUUUUAGUUUUUGUAAUUGUGAUAGAGAGUGGUAUGAUUUUUUGUUUAUUUUUAGUUAAUUUUUAUGAUAAUCAACACAAUUUAAAGGUUUGAGCAGGGUUGAGAAGAAGUUGAAAAAAAAUAUAAGACUCAUAAGAAAAUGAUUCUGAACAUAUAUAGUUAAAUUGGUGUUGAUAUAUUUCUUUGUAAAUAUUUUUUUAAAAUUUAUAUUUUUAUGGACUAUAACACUUUGACGUGGUAGUAUUAUUAGAAAUUAUUUUUUAGAUGAUGAUUUCUUAGAGUAAACAAAGUGGAUUUGGAGUAUUUUUAUUUAGCAAAUAAAAGGGUGGUCUAGUAUUUUUCAAAAUUUUGUUACACAAAUAACAAAAGGAAGGGAGGUAAAUAAUUUUUUAAAAUUUUAAGGAUGUUAGGUAACAUUUUAGAAAAACGUUAGGGGAGGUUUCUGAUAUGAUCCCUAUUUUUAAAACAUCCCUAUGCGUAGCAGUUUUUUUUUUUUUUUUUGAAAAAAAAGGUGAUGGCAUGGUGGCGUUGACACUUGAGAGAAAGGUCCUGUAAAUAGUGAAAAAACAAAGAACGUUAAAAACAGGAGAGAGAGAGAGAGAGUGUGUGUGUGCGCGUGUGUGUUGAGUUGAUGUUGGAGUAAUGGGGGCUUAAUCUCUUGUUUGCCCUUACAACAACUGUUCUUUCGUCAUAGAUAUUUCUUCAAUCACCUUCUCCUUCGAUUUAGGGUUUUGACUCUUUUGCUUUCUCUCUAUAGUCUCUGCAACUCUUUGCUCCAUGAUAUUUCACUGUGAGCUUUCGAUUAACUUAUGAUCUCUGUUUAAUCCUGGCUGUUACUUGAUUUUUCUACUCAUCGUUUUUGUGUUAGCUUCUUACUUGAUUUGGUUGACUGUUUAUUUUAUGUCAAUACAACUGUGUUUGCAUUGAUUAAUUUGCGCUCUUUCCUUUUUUUUUUAUUUUAUUUUGUCCCCUGCUGAGUUUUAAUCAAGUUGAUUGGAUAUCUUUUUUUCUUUCUUUUUCAAGCCAGUAGUUUUAGUUCGUUUUUCCCCAAGUGUGAUGCAGGUUGAAGUUCAUUUUUGGUGAACUUGAGCUUUUUAGAGCAUUGAAGGUUUGAAAUUUUAGCUGUAAAUUCAGCUUCGGAAGCCGUUAAAGUUCAUUUCAGUUGACAGACUUUCCUUCUCCGCUCCUUUGUUGGGGUUUUCGGGAUCUUAAUUUUCCUUCUUUUCUUUUUUUAAAGCUGAGUUACUGUUGUUCUUUCUUUCCCAAAUGAGAUCUAAAUAAGAUGAAGUGUGCAUUGAAGGGAAAUGGAGAGGAUAACAUUGACGGGGUGCUGAAUAUUGUAAUGUUCUUUUGGUUCCGACAAAUAUGUAAAAACUGUAGGUGUAAAGGCUUACUUGAUUUCUUCUUGUUAGCUUUGCUUCCCAUUGAGAAGGGAACAAUUUUACCAGUAGAACUAUUGGUGGAAAAGUGCCUAUUUGAUGAAACUCUAGUUUACUCAAGGUUCAUACUGCCCUUAAAAUGGACCGUUAGACUGGUUCUAUUAUUACUCUAAAAGUUAUGCCGUUAUGCAUGAUAAAGAAAAUCUAGAUACUUUUGGGGUGGACUAAUUUCUCAUGUUUCUGGUUUGCGAUUUGGAAGUGCUCUCAGAAACUUGCUGCUCAAAGUUAGCUUAUAGAACCUCCUUCAGCUACGAAAGUGGUUCACCCAUUGCCACUCUGUGUCACAUUUUGGUCAUUGGUUUAUUGGAAAUACGUGCUGCAUUUGCUUUCUCAAUAUUCCCCUUGUUUCUGUCUCAUAACGUGUCUGCAAAUGCUUUUUUUGCAGAUGCUCAUGUACUUGUGUCUGCAACAAAAAGUAGGAUAAAAAUCCUAACAAGGUUCAUUUGUAACAGAUAGAAUUUUAAUUAUUUCUAGAAGAGUUUGAACACACUUGGUUAUGAUGUAGGAAACAUAUGCUAAUUGCAAUUUUGACUACUGUCUUCCAGAAGAAUUAUUGUCUUAUAAAUUAUUGGUCAUUGAUUCUGUAUGAGCUUUCCAGGUGUAUUUCAUUUGUGCUUCUUGUUGGGGUUUUCUGUUUUAUCAGGAUGUCAAUCCUUUGAUAUCCGUCAGGCAGAAGUGACUUAGAAAUAUAGUGUAGUUCUAUUGUAUGUAAAUAGUAUGUGCGUACUUUCUACUUGCUCGGUUUUCUUAUGCCUUAAGAAAUUGUUUGUUUUUAAGUCAAAGAUAUUGUGUUAUAAUGAGUUUGUUUUACUGGAUAUCAUGCUGACACACAAGUGAAUUUUUCCAAGCAGGAAUUUUACGGAAUAUGAGUUUCAGUUCAUGAUCCUCCUGCUUGGGUUAAUGGUAUCAUUCAUUUCUACUUUGUAAUUUUUUGUAUAGAAAAGUAUAGAGUUUGCAUCCUUUAGAAAUUUUUGGGAAUCUUUUUAGAUAUGCUGUUCUUAAAUGUUUGGUUGCAGGGCCUGAGUGGUUGUUUCAUGCCUACCUGAGUCCAUGUUGCACCUAUAGUACUGGUUGGAAAGUUCAUACUGAUACCAGCCGCUAGUCCUGUUGUUUGUUACAGAUGGAUGAUAGUGGGCAUCGUGAGAAUGGGCGUCAUAAGCCACCUCAGGGUCAGGUUAGAUUCGACAUGUUAUGGAUCAGUGAUACGGUUUUAUGUUUACUACAUUUUCUUUAGUAAAUCCUACAUGGGAGAGAAAUGGAUUCUAUAGUAUCUGUACUAUGGAAUGCUAUCUAUAGGUGCUAAUUAUAACUAUUUUGAUGCAUUUGUUUCAGUGGUUAAUGCAGCAUCAGCCAUCAAUGAAACAAAUCAUGGCCAUUAUGGCUGAAAGAGAUGCUGCUAUCCAGGAGAGGAAUUUGGCUCUUUCUGAGAAGAAGGCUGCUUUGGCAGAACGAGACAUGGCUAUCCUGCAGAGGGAUUCAGCAAUAGCUGAAAGAAAUAAUGCCAUUAUGGAACGCGAUAAUGCAAUUGCCACUCUUCAGUAUCGCGAAAACUCUAUAAAUAGUGGUAAUAUGUCUCCCUGCCCACCAGGAUGCCAAAUUACACGUGGUGUGAAGCAUAUGCACCAUCCUCAGCAGCACGUACACCACCAGCCCCAAGUAAAUGAACCUCCAUAUGGUAGCAGAGAUAUGCCCAUAAGUGAUGCUAUUCCAAUAUCACCUGGUUUGCUGGAGCCUGCAAAGUCCAGGAGGACAAAACGAACCAAGGAUCCGAAGGCAGUAACAUCAACUAAGAAGGCUUCAAAGUCAUCGAAGAAGGUUAAAAGGGAGGGUGAGGACCUCAACAAAACAAUGUUUGGCAAGUCACAUGAGUGGAAGCCUGGGCAGGAAGUGGGUAGUGGCACUGAUGACCUGAACAGACAACUAGGUGUCUCGAAGCCAGACUGGAAGGAUCAGGACCUGGGUUUGAACCAGGUUGCUUUUGACGAGUCAACCAUGCCAGUGCCUGUGUGCUCCUGCACAGGAGUUCUCAGGCCAUGCUACAAGUGGGGAAAUGGAGGCUGGCAAUCAUCUUGUUGUACCACCAAUUUGUCUAUGUAUCCAUUGCCAGCAGUGCCUAAUAAGCGUCAUGCCAGAAUUGGUGGUCGGAAGAUGAGUGGAAGUGCUUUUAACAAACUGCUGAGUCGCCUAGCAGCAGAAGGCCACGAUCUGUCAAACCCUGUUGACCUUAAAGAGCACUGGGCGAAACAUGGCACAAAUCGCUACAUUACCAUCAAAUAAAUGUAAGUUGAAGUUUAUAGGGGGAAAGGUUGUCAGCCACUACUGACAAUUAUAUAUAUUUGAUUUGGAAUUGUCAGGGGAAAAAUUAUUCGUUUAGUUAACGAAGUAAUUGGAGUUUUCCCUUUUUUAUUGGUGCCAAUCAAUUCUCUCCUUCACCCCUAAUCUUCCCUUUCUGGAUAAUCUGAAGAAUUAAGCUGUCUGCGUCUCCCCUUUUUCCUUUUUGUAAUGUUGGUCGGGGAAAAGAUGCAGGGCUAUUGAAAAGUGAUAGAUAAAUGAGCAUGUGUAUGGGCUGUAUGGGCCAUGGGGUAAGGUUGGACCCUUAUUGCUUGUAACUAGUAUCAAGUGUAGAGAUCCGCUGUAUUUCUCCUGUAUUAAGGUACAUGGUACAUGUUAAUUGUGUUAUUAUUUUCUGUUUAGAUUUUGCUUUCAAUAUAGAUCACUGGCAAUUUCUCGAGCAUCGAUAUUGAUCACUGGCAAUUGCUAUUGACCCCUUUCCGGUUCUAUGCUGACAAUGAGUUAGUGCUGAUUUUGACUAGAGCUGCAAAUGAGCCGAGUUGAGAUUUGGACUUAUCGAGCCGAGCUCGACUUAAUAACAAAUGAACUCGAGCUCGACGAGUCAAGAAAAUUGAGUUCGAGCUCAACUCGACCAAGGAAAAGUCAUGCUCGAGCUCGACUCGACAAGCCUCACGAGCAACUUGAAUUGUUAGCUCGUAAUGUGACUCGAAUUUCUGACUCGUAAACAGCUCAGUAACUCGAGUUUAAUCUAAUAAAAAUAACAAAUAAUUAUUUUUUUAAUAAAUAAUAAAAUAUUAUGAAUAUAUAUGUAAUUUUAUUAUUAAAAUAAAAAAUAUAUAUAUGUACACGAGCUAACGAACUUAAUAUUUUGAGUUCGAACUCGAGCUCGAGUUUCGAUUUUGCUAGCUCUAGCUCGAGUCGAGUCGAGUCGAGCUUUGACUCGCGAGCGGUUCGAUUCAUUUGCAGCCUUAGUUUUGACCAUGCACGUUUCAAUUCACUGGAUAUUCGGAUGGAUCCAAAAAACAGUUCCCAUGUAGCAAAAGAAAUGCAUUAGCACUGCAAUCCUGUUUCAGGCAUUCCUUCCCGCCUUGCCAUGAGUUUUUAGCGAAGGGCUCGGGUAGAAUGGAAAAACGAUGAAUAUUUUGUUUGUAAAACCCACUUUUGGAUGACGUGUAUUCAGUGAGGAAUGUAAGUGGUAAUUGUGAAUUAGUGAUGAAUGGACGUAGCUGGUAAAAGAUUCGGAACUUUUCAUCAUUUAUCCAUAAAACGUAGUGCACAGAGCCCAUUAGAGGAAGAGAAAGCUAAUUGUCCGACUCCUAAACUAUUUUCAUUGCACUCAAUAAUAAAUUAUUGUAAAUAAAUCCCUCAACAAAAAAGUUUCACGUUUAAGGAAUUUUGUCAAAUUUAGUCGUUGAUACC